rnacentral:rRNA from 1 species
UACAGAGGUCCCAAGCGUUGUUCGGAUUCACUGGGCGUAAAGGGUGCGCAGGUGGUCGGGUAAGUCUGACGUGAAAUCCCGCAGCUUAACUGCGGAAUGGCAUUGGAUACUAUUCGGCUAGAGGGUUGGAGGGGGGACUGGAAUUCUCGGUGUAGCAGUGAAAUGCGUAGAUAUCGAGAGGAACACCAGUGGCGGAGGCGAGUCCCUGGACAACUCCUGACGCUGAGGCACGAAAGCUAGGGGAGCAAACAGG